GACGAACGCUGGCGGCGUGCUUAACACAUGCAAGUCGAACGGAAAGGCCCUGCUUGCAGGGUACUCGAGUGGCGAACGGGUGAGUAACACGUGGGUGAUCUGCCCUGCACUUCGGGAUAAGCCUGGGAAACUGGGUCUAAUACCGGAUAGGAGCCAUUUUUAGUGUGAUGGUUGGAAAGUUUUUUCGGUGUAGGAUGAGCUCGCGGCCUAUCAGCUUGUUGGUGGGGUAAUGGCCUACCAAGGCGGCGACGGGUAGCCGGCCUGAGAGGGUGGACGGCCACAUUGGGACUGAGAUACGGCCCAGACUCCUACGGGAGGCAGAAGUGGGGAAUAUUGAACAAUGGGCGCAAGCCUGAGGAAGCGAGGCCGCGUGGGGAUGACGGCCUUCGGGUUGUAAACUCCUUUCGCUAGGGACGAAGCUUUUUGUGACGGUACCUAGAUAAGAAGCACCGGCUAACUACGUG
rnacentral:rRNA from 1 species